rnacentral:lncRNA from 10 species
CUGAGCUGGUUUACUGAUUGCUCUCCUGAGCUGCAUGCAAUGGGCUAUUCUCAUCCUCUUCCCAGAAAACCCCCUCCCUUGACUCCCAAGUCCAUGCCCCUCUCCACCCCCUUGUGCUUGGGACCUGAGCUUGAACUCCAAAUGCAGCAGCUAUGACUGCUUAAGCAGGUCCUCCCGAGGAGCAGGGCUGCUGGGGGCACACACACUGUCCUGAGGACAUGCUCUGCAGCCAUUGAAACUGUUAGUGUCUGCCAGUCAGGAAACUCUCACCUUCUGCAAGGCAGUCUGGCUCUCCAUGGCCUCCGAGUCACCGCAGCCCUGGAUCAAUACCAGUGUAAACAGAGCUUCGCUCCAUAUUGUGAAGCAGCAAGAAGGCUCUUAUGAGAUGCUGACCUUGUUGAUCUUGAACUUCCCAGCCUUCAGAACCACGAACCAAUAAAUUCCUGUUCAUUAUAAAUUAC